rnacentral:rRNA from 1 species
UACAGAGGGUGCAAGCGUUAAUCGGAAUUACUGGGCGUAAAGCGUGCGUAGACGGUUAUGUAAGUCGGGUGUGAAAGCCCCGGGCUCAACCUGGGAAUGCCAUUUGAGACUGCAUAGCUAGGGUGCGGAAGAGGGAAGCGGAAUUUCCGGUGUAGCGGUGAAAUGCGUAGAUAUCGGAAGGAACACCAGUGGCGAAAGCGGCUUCCUGGUCCAGCACCGACGUUCAGGCACGAAAGCGUGGGGAGCAAACAGG